CGGCGUGCUUACACAUGCAGUCGCAACGCUGAAGCUUGGGUGCUUGCAUCUGGGUGGAUGAGUGGCGAACGGGUGAGUAAUACGUGAGUAACCUGCCCUUGACUCUGGGAUAAGCCUGGGAAACUGGGUCUAAUACUGGAUACUACAUUCUCUCGCAUGGGGGUGUGUGGAAAGGGUUUUACUGGUUUUGGAUGGGCUCACGGCCUAUCAGCUUGUUGGUGGGGUAAUGGCCUACCAAGGCGACGACGGGUAGCCGGCCUGAGAGGGUGACCGGCCACACUGGGACUGAGACACGGCCCAGACUCCUACGGGAGGCAGCAGUGGGGAAUAUUGCACAAUGGGCGAAAGCCUGAUGCAGCGACGCCGCGUGAGGGAUGACGGCCUUCGGGUUGUAAACCUCUUUCAGCACGGAAGAAGCGAAAGUGACGGUACGUGCAGAAGAAGCGCCGGCUAACUACGUGCCAGCAGCCGCGGUAAU
rnacentral:rRNA from 1 species